rnacentral:rRNA from 1 species
UACGGGGGGAGCAAGCGUUGUUCGGAUUUACUGGGCGUAAAGGGCGCGUAGGCGGUCAGCACAAGUCAGUUGUGAAAUCUCCGGGCUUAACUCGGAAAGGUCAACUGAUACUGUGCGACUAGAGUGCGGAAGGGGCAACUGGAAUUCUCGGUGUAGCGGUGAAAUGCGUAGAGAUCGGGAGGAACACCAGAGGCGAAGGCGGCGACCUGGACAGGUACUGACACUCAACUACGAAAGCGUGGGGAGCAAACAGG